GUCCUGUGGAAUCCUGUAGCUCAGUGGUUAGAGCGCUCGCCUCGGAAGCGAGAGGACCCGGGAUCAAUUCCCAGACGGGUCA